rnacentral:rRNA from 1 species
UCUGGGCGUAAGCGUGCGCAGGCGGUUGUGCAAGACCGAUGUGAAAUCCCCGGGCUUAACCUGGGAAUUGCAUUGGUGACUGCACGGCUAGAGUGUGUCAGAGGGGGGUAGAAUUCCCCGUGUAGCAGUGAAAUGCGUAGAGAUGUGGAGGAAUACCGAUGGCGAAGGCAGCCCCCUGGGAUAACACUGACGCUCAUGCACGAAAGCGUGGGGAGCAAACAGGAUUAGAUACCCUGGUAGUCCACGCCCUAAACGAUGUCAACUAGUUGUUGGGGAUUCAUUUCCUUAGUAACGUAGCUAACGCGUGAAGUUGACCGCCUGGGGAGUACGGUCGCAAGAUUA